rnacentral:lncRNA from 1 species
GCCGUUCAUCUUUUAAUGAUCCAACGGUCACACGCUUCUCCCACGACCCAAUCCGUUAAACUCCGGUUCGACCCAGUCUCUACCAUCUACCAAACGGUGCCGUUUCUUUUAAAUAAAAGAUCUUGGCCGUUGAUCUUGGUUGAUCCAAUGGCCAAGAUCAAAUCCUUCAUUUGGUACAUAACUCCAAUGCCAUACCCCGCCCCCGAAGCCAAUACCCCAUCUCAGCCAUCUCUCUAAGCUCAGAGAGCUCCCCUGUAGCUCCGCCGUGGACCACCGUAAUUCCGCUUACCAGAAAUCGCCUCACGGCGGUUCCAAUAUGCCAAACGAUCCCAUCUUCACGCUACAACCUCUCCACAACCUUCCCUCUCUAAAUACACACCCCGUUUCCUUCGAAUCAUCCUUGACCUCUUCGAAUCUUCAAUCGAAUGUCGACUGGAAAACGUGACCUCUCCAAUGACCACCAUCUUCACACCAUAACUUCCUCACGACCCCCUCACUCCACUCCCAGGCCCAAUUUCCUUCGAAUCAAACGGAUUCGUUUCGAAUCUUAAUUCCCGUUCAAGAACCCUAUCCGCCCCCACAAGACCCCAGUGGCGGCGGCGCCCCCUUUCGACCCCAAAUCAAUACCCUAUCUCCAUUGGGCCUUCCUCAUCCCAUAUCCACUUUCAUUCCCUUUCAAAUACCACACUAACUCCCUGAACCCUAAAUCACAGAAAACCUUGACUUUGAUUUGAAAUCCGAGGUUGGUCGUUUGAGGGUCCAUUUCGUUUAAAUUGGAGUUUAGCCGUGUGUUUUCAUAUUGAAACACACGAUUAAACUCUAUUUCAAAUACAAAUCAAGAGAAGGGGACGAGUGACAGUAAAUUUUGCCCUUUUUAAUUUCCCAGGUAUUGUUUUCAAUUCCUUUUCUUUGUAUUUUUAUUUGUUAGUUUCCACUUCAAUAUUGCUUCUUCUCCUUCAUUUCCAUUUUUUGUUUUCUUUGUUUUUUUUAAUUGAACCAAGUGUGAAAUUAGCUCAUCGGUAUUUGAAUUUUCUUAUUCUGUUCGAUUCUGGCCAAUGUUUGAUUCUUUUAAUUGAGUCAUUCAUCGAAUCGAAUUGUUUAAUCAAUUAAAAUGUCAUUGAGUUUUGGUCAUUAGUUUAUGUAUUGAUCUGUCGAUCAGUUUACGAACUGUUUGUUUGAAUCCAUCUGUGAAUUGAUUAUAGCUGUGUAGUUGUUUAGUUGUGAAUAAUCAGAAGUUAGUUGUGGUGGAUUUUUAGCUUUGAACAGAUUUUAGAAUUAAGGUGUUUAAUACAGUUUAAUAAGUUUAGCUCUGUCCACUGAAUUUAGGUAGUAACAGUAGGGGUUUUAGGGGUAUUUUGGGAAUGAAAAGUGGGCAAAAUUGACUAAGUUAAUGGCCUGUUAGUCAAGCCUUAAUGUGUGCCCUGAAUUAAGGAGGAAAUUAAGGGAAUAGCACUGUUGAGUAAGUUUUUCAAAUCGGGUAGGCAGACUUUUGUUAUUUUGGGGGAUCGGGUGGUUAAGUUUUUUAAAAGGGGGCAGGUAUGUCUUGGGUUAUAAAUAGAACAGAGUUUGGACAUAAUAGGGAGCUCUUUUUAAUCAAUUAGAGAUUGAGAGCUUAAGACUGAAUUUUUGAAACAGAAAUUGAGAAUUGAGAGUAAAAAUAUAGACUGAAUUUUGAGAGGGAGAUAUUUAAAAAUUAGGAGUAAAAAAAAAUCAGUUCGAAAGAAGACCUUAAGAGUAAGAGUUUUAGACAGCCAGCUAGUUCAAUUAAACUUGUUCCAUUGAAAAAUACCAAAAGUGCUAUUGCAUUGUUUCUCUGGUUCACAAUUUGAUCAAGUUUUCUUCUUUUUUGAUUACUGGAUUGCUGGAAGGUCACUAUUUGGUUCUCGUUUGAUUUUGGGUGUUCAAAUUAGCUCCUUAGGUUGCUUGUUUUGCUGUGUUUCUAUUGAGGUUGCCUGGGUUUGUUGGAAGCUAUUUUUGAGGUCCAAAUUACUUUGAUUACUGGAUUGCUGGAAGUUCACUAGUUGGUUCUCGUUUGAUUUUGGGUGUUCAAAUUAGCUCCUUAGGUUGCUUGUUUUGCUGUGUUUCUGUUGAGGUUGCCUGGGUUUGUUGGAAGCUAUUUUGAGGUCCAAAUUACUCUUGUUUUGGUUGAUUGUGGCUGCUGGUUAUCUGUUAUUGUGCUGUUGUUGUUGUGCUUGUGUUACUGCUGCACUACUGAUCUUCCUCUCCUUCUUUGGCAUUUCCAAAUACCAGGUACACGACUCUUAUACUGGUACAAUGUAGCUGGAACUGUUCGAAGCAUAAAAAAAAUAGCCUUAAGGCUCGAAGUUAUUAAUUUUUUUUUUUAGAUUCUGUAUAUGUAUAUGAUAGAUUUAGCUCAUUAGAAUGGCAUGGUUAAUUGCCAAUGUAUCAAUAGGCUCAAUCUGUAAUAAUUCAAGUUCAAUCCCAU